rnacentral:rRNA from 1 species
UGAUCCUGGCUCGGGAUGAACGCUAGCUACAGGCUUAACACAUGCAAGUCGAGGGGCAGCAUGAACUUAGCUUGCUAAGUUUGAUGGCGACCGGCGCACGGGUGAGUAACACGUAUCCAACCUGCCGAUGACUCGGGGAUAGCCUUUCGAAAGAAAGAUUAAUACCCGAUGGCAUAGUUCUUCCGCAUGGUAGAACUAUUAAAGGAUUUCGGUCAUCGAUGGGGAUGCGUUCCAUUAGGUUGUUGGG